UACGUAGGGUGCAAGCGUUAUCCGGAAUUAUUGGGCGUAAAGAGCUCGUAGGCGGUUUGUCGCGUCUGCUGUGAAAACUGGAGGCUCAACCUCCAGCCUGCAGUGGGUACGGGCAAACUAGAGUGCGGUAGGGGAGAUUGGAAUUCCUGGUGUAGCGGUGGAAUGCGCAGAUAUCAGGAGGAACACCGGUGGCGAAGGCGGGUCUCUGGGCCGAUACUGACGCUGAGGAGCGAAAGCGUGGGGAGCAAGCAGG
rnacentral:rRNA from 1 species